UUGCGUAGUCCGUGGGCAGAUGAGUAACUGGAUAUUUUCAGCCGUAUCGAUUGUGACGAUAUAAAAUACAGGACCUGAUCAGAGUAUUGGAACUAAACUAGGUGUAUUUGAUUGAAGGACAUAUAACUGAAAUUAUCGUAGACAUGUGUUUCAAAGUACAGUGUGAGAAAUGCCAGAAAUAUACUUGGAAAGGGUGUGGGAACCACAUCGAAAGGGUGUUGAAGGACGUACCAGUAGACCAGCGAUGUCAGUGCCCGCGGAAAUAACGCAUAAAUCUUAUUUUAUCUCAGGGUUUCCAGACAUGAAUUUGGCUACGGAAUUAUACUGUCAUUCUACAGCAAAUCCCUAUUGAGUUGCUCACUCCUCCUCUGUGCCAGUUGCACUCUUGCAAUGUAUUUAUUUUAUUUUCAAUUUUCUUUAAAUAAAUGUUAGAAUUGU